AUGAAAAGUGGUAGCAUGAAAGUGCUAAACAUAUAAUUUUCCUUUGUUUUGAUUUAUUUGAUAGUGGUUAGCAACAGUAGUGUAUUAUUUUCUUUUGAACUUUCUUUGGUCCAAGAAGAAUAACAUAACUGGUUUUAAUUUUUUGUAUUUUGUUUUAUAUUAUUAAAUUUCAUUAUAUUAAAAUAUCGCUAUUUAAUUUUGGUUAGAUUUAAAAUGUAUUAUAUAUAUUAUUUAAAUAUAUUUAAUCAGAUAUUAUGAAAACAAAAAUUUAGAAAUUUCUAUAAUAUUUUAAAAUGUGCUGCUUGGUGCUCUCUCUUUAUUCAGGUGCUGAAGUGGUGCAUUGUGAAGAAAUUAUUAGAUUUGAUUAGUAUAAACAUUUAUCCUCUCUCUAAAUAAAAUCAAUUAGUAUUUUAAAUUAACCAACCUCUAUUUAUAUAAUGAAAGAAUAUUUUCUCAUUAAUUAUAUUUUAAUUAAAUAGGCAACCAAAAUUUAUAAACUUUAAAACGAAAUUUUAAUAAAUGUUAAUUGUUAAAUACAAAUGAAAAUAAAGUUUUGUUGUUUUAAAUAAGUUAUGGUUGAACAUUCCAAUUUCCAAAAUAGUUGUAUAUUUGUUUUUUUUUCUUGUGACACUGAUGGUUGUAUAUUGGUUACAUAAAUAUUUUUGCAACAGUCACUGGGACAACCAUUCAAGUUUGUUACUCCCUCUGUUCUCGAAAGUGAGAUUUUUUAGAUUUUUUUCUUGUUCCACAAAAAAAGAUUUUCUAUAUUGUUAAGGUAUUUUUUUUUAUACUUUUGAAGGAAAAGAAAGAGAAGAAAUAUUUCUAUUCUAUGUUUUUCAAAUUAAAUAUAAUACAUCAAAUAUUUCAUUUUAAUGUGAAUUUUUCAUCUUUUUAAGAAGUGAAUGAUAAGAAUUAUGAGGAGGAGAAAGGGGAUAUGAUUGGUUAGAAGAGUUGGUGGAAUUGUCAGCGAAAUUAAUAAAGAAGAAACAAGAGGAGAAACAUUUAUAUUUAAUAUUUCCAAAUAGAAAAAAAUACAACAAAAUAAUGUAGUUUAACGUGAACUGUUCAUAUUUUCCAAAACUGCAAAAUAAAAAUAAGAAACAAAGAAAAAAUAUAUGACUUGCGGACGAAUUGAAAUAAUUGUAAUUAAAAUUGAUGGACAAGAAAGAAAAAGAGGAGCUGAGAUGUAAUAAGGAAGAGGAGGAUUGAGAAGUGAAGGAUGAGACGUGAGGAGUGAAAAGGAAAGUGGAGAGUGAAGAGUAAAGGAGAGGAAGAGUGAAGAGGGAGAGGAGAGUGAGAACCGAGCAUGUGUUAAGCACAAUUUACAUAUUAUAAUAUGUUAUAUUUAUUAAAACUAUAUAGUAUAAAACAAUAGAUUUAUAGUGAACCUGAAAAGUGAAAAUAAGAAAUGAAAAAUUAGAACUGAUGAGUGAGGAAGAGAACAAGGAGAUGGAAGAAAGUGAGGAGUGAAGAAGGGAAUGACAAUGACAUAUUAUAAUAUGACAAUAACAUAGAGUAGUAUGUUAGUGUAUUUUAAUUUAUACAUGGUUGCAGACUGAUUGUUUUGGUGUAGAAUAAAAAGAAACUAUGAAAACUAACUGUGGUUGUACAAGAAGUCAGAUUUUAUGUUUAAAUAACUCUAAACAAGGUGAUUCAUAUCAAAAAUAUUUAAUUGUUUAUAACUUUAUAUUACACAAAAAACUGAUUUCUAUUUUAUUUGUUUAAGUAAAAAAAAAUAGAAUAGACUAUUUAAUAUAUGUAGAACUGUUCAUCAUCUUCUAUAGUUUGAUGUCUGAUUUUUCUAUUUUUCUCUUUCCAACUUUUGCUAAUUAAGAACAGUUAACAACAAUUUGAAUCUACUAAAUUUGUGUCAUAAUUUUUGUUUUUGUCAAAUAUUGAUCAUUAACACCUUUUUUAGUUAAUGUUAUUUCAUGGUUGGUCAAAAUAAGUUUGGAAUAGAAAACAGAUACUUAAUUAUGGAUUAGAAGAAAAUCAUAUAAGCUGCAAAAGAAAAAAACAUGAAUAUGUGCGUGUGAGUUUUUAGGAGGAUUAAUGGAAUAAAUACAUAUUAUAUAUGGUAUAUUUUAACCAUUAGGCUCGUCGUGUGAUUAGACCAUGAUUAACGCGGUUGCUUAGUUGGGUUUUUUUUAAUGUAAUUAGAAUUAGAAAAAAUAAAUAAAAUUAGCUUUUAAUAGAAGAAACGUUUCUUAGUAAAGUGCUACAAAACACGGCUCUUAUGAGACAUGUGUCCCCCAUUGAAAGAGUUGCGUUCAUCUCUAUCUCUCUCUCGACGGAAUCAUUCCGUGUCUCUCUCGCUCUCCUCGACGAUGAAUCACUAUGCGUCUCUCUCGGUGUCUCUCUCUUGAUGGAAACCCUCCGCGUCUCUCUCCCUCUCCUCGACGACUGCCUCUCUUUCUUAAUCUCUCCUAGACGAUGAAUUUCAUCACUCCGCAUAUCUCUCGGUGUCUCUCUCUCGACGGAAUCACUUUGCGUCUCUCUCGCUCUCCUCGACAACAUCAAAUCGGCGACUAUUGAUGUUGAUGCUCAGUCGAAUCGAUAAAUGGAUGGAUCAAGAGACAUGAAGGUCAUCAAAGAAGAGGACUACAAUUGCAAUACAGGUCUUGAAAGAGUGAAAGAGUGGAGCAUUGGGAGUGGAAGAAUCACGGACUGAAUUGAAGUCUUGUAUUCUUGUGUAAACUAUGUAUUUAUUCCAACGACGAUUUAGAAUGAACAAGCCAUUGUUCAUGCAUAUUGUUGAUCGACUCUCCAAUGAAGUUCAAUUCUUUCGACAAAAGAAAGAUGGUCUUGGGGCUUGGUCUCUAUACACUUCAAAAGUAUACAAUAGCUAUUCGUGUCUUGGCAUAUGGUAUUGCGGCUGAUACGGUUGACGAAUACCUCCGGCUCGAUACAACUACUACUCGGUCAUGUUUGGAAAAGUUUGUAGAAGGAAUAAUAUAGUUAUUCGGUGAUGAGUACCUAAGAAGAUCAACACCGGCUGAUCUUCAACGUCUACUUGAUAUUGGAGAGCAUCGUGGAUUUCCCGGGAUGAUAGGAAGCAUCGAUUGUAUGCAUUGGGAGUGGAAGAAUUGUCCCACCGCUUGGAAAUGUCAAUAUUCACGUGUUUCAGGAAAACUCACAAUCAUUUUAGAGGCGGUUGCUUCAUCUGAUCUAUGGAUAUGUCAUGUGUUUUUGAACCUCCAGGUACCUUAAAUGAUAUCAAUAUUCUUGAUCGCUCCUCUAUUUUUGAUGACAUAAUAAAAGGUCAAGCUCAGCAAGUGACUUUCUCUGUCAAUGGAAGAGAUUAUCAUUUCGCUUACUAUCUCACCCGAUGGUCUUUAUCCGAAAUAGGAAACUUUUAUCCAAUCUAUUUCAAUUCCCCAAGGGCUGAAAGCAGUUUUAUUUGUUCAACAUCAAGAAGCUGCCCAAAAAGAUGUCGAGCGUGCUUUUGGAGUCUUGCAACCUCGAUUUGCCAUUGUUAAAAAUCCAACAAUUUUUUAGGAUAAUGUCAAAAUUGGAAGACGAACAGAUGGAUACACUCAAUUUGAUGUUUCAGAGUUCCAACAAAGAGAAGAAAACAGAAGUUCACAUGUGGAUCUCACGUAUUCUACAAAUAUCCCUACAAAUAUCGCCAAUAUGAUGGGUGUUCGAACUAGAAUUCGUGAUAGACAAGUUCAUCAACAACUGAAAACUGAUUUGGUUGAACAUAUAUGGCGUAAAUUUGGACGUGAUCAACAUAACAACUGAGCUUGGAUGUUUCUUUGAAAUUAUUAUAUUUUAUUUUACUAAUCUAUGUUUUAAUGUUUUUAUUUUAAAAUCUAUAUUUUAAAUAUUAUCUUUGACUAUGUUUUAUUUAAUAAAUAAAUUUUAUCUUUAAUAAAACAAUAUUUUAUAAUUUUUUUAAGAACCCUAAAUUAUGUUCUAGUUCUACCAUUGGAGCACUCAGACUAAUUGUUUUUUUAACAAAACUUCUUAACUUAAGUUUAUUAGUUAAAUAUUUAUUAAGAAUCCCAUUAGGGUUUCCCGUAUUAAUCAUGUUUUUACUUUCUAAAUUAAUUUUAUGGUUAUUGCUUCUAAUUUUCCUAUACAAAAAUAACAAAAGUGAAGAGCCUUUUAACUUUUAUAAGAAAGAAGAAUAAGUAGGGACAUGAAUCGACCACAGUGCCUUUUAUAUUAUACAAGAAUAAUAAAAGUGAAAAUAUUUUAUUAUAAGAAAUAAGAAUAAGUGGGGACAGGAAUCGACCACAAUAUGCCUUUUAUAUUGUCUAUCUAUUAUUAUAAAGAGGAGUGUCUCUCUCCUCCUAGGCGGCCAUAUCACUAAAUAGAGAGAAAAAAUGCCGACACCUGUCCCCUGAAACAAAACUCACCAUUUCAUUAAUGUCUUAUUGUGUAUUGGUCACUUUGUUUUGAUUCUUUAUGGUUUUGAUUAUUUAUGGGCUUAUUGGAAUCAUCUUUUCUUAUUUAGUUUUGUAACCCAAACUGAUUGGGAGAGACGAUCUUCUUUGCGAUCUCACCAAUCGUCUUCUUCAAUCUGUGUUUUGUGAUGAUCUAAACCAAAGCCGGAGUCUUUGAAUGUCGAUUGAGACGAAACGUUUAUCGUUUUUCGUUCUUACCCUCGAAGACGUUAUGAUGUCUUGAUUCAUCGGCUUUAAGAAACCUCUUAACUCCAUCAACGCAAAUCAAGCAGAUGUCUCUGUAAUGACCCAAAUUCGGGCCCAAAAAAUACAGGUCGAGGCCCAAAUCCAUUUCCAGAAGCCCAUGGUAUUUUUCUAUAAAAAAUCACCUCUAUCCACUUUGUUUUUUCCAAAACAUCAAAAAUUUGGAAAAGAGAAGAGAGAGUUAAGAGAAAUGGGAAUAUUGAAUUGUAGAGAGUUCUGAGAUCUUCGCCGGAGCCACCACACACCAUGACGGCGCUGAACUCGUCCCCACCGUUCGCAACCCUAGGUAACCACCACAAACCGCCAUGCAUUUAGUUCAGUUUCGGCUGUUUUAGUAAAUCAACCAUAACUUCCUAACCGUUGAAAAUUUCGUGCAUUCAAGACAACCAUCGUGUUCCUAUCGUCGAGACGAAGCCAUAGACACCAAUCGCGCUGCAAUCGGAGUCCGGACGAGCCCUCACGCGCAUUACCACCGCCGCCACAUCGCCGUCACCGGUGACUCUUCCGGUAAGCCACCGCCCUUUGAUAGACUAUGGAUUUGACCCGUUUUUAUUCAUAGUUUAUAGGUGUUUUACUAAUAUUUAUAUUAUUAUAGAGUCUAUUUAUUAUAUUUAUAAGAUCAAGAAUGUUUUGUAAAUAAGUGAUGAUUUUGGAGCAUUUUGGAGAUAUUUGGAGGAAGCACCCGAGAUGACCAUCAAGAUCGACAAUCAGUCGAUAUUGGAGAGCUAGAAUCGAUUGAUACACAAGUAAUGGUGUCGAUCGAUAGCAAAGCGCGCAGAAGCCUGUUUGGUCACAGCCGACUUGAAGCCCAAGAUUUCACUAUUUUACAAGAUUGCCCCUGACAUGUUUUACCCUAAUUAUAUAAGAUUU